rfam:Magnaporthe poae ATCC 64411 unplaced genomic scaffold supercont1.3, whole genome shotgun sequence.
GGCAACGUGCCUGAGUGGUUAAAGGGUGUGACUAGAAAUCACAUGGGUUCGCCCGCGUAGGUUCGAGUCCUGCCGUUGUCG